rnacentral:tRNA from 1 species
GGAAGUGUGGCUGAGUCCGGUUUAAGGCGCAGAACUGCUAAUUCUGUGAUUGACGAAAGUUGGUCCAGGGGUUCGAAUCCCCUCACUUCCAC